UUCCUCUGACCAGUAUAUUUCCGUCAACGACCACCAAAAAUUUUUCCACGACCGCUAUUGAUUUGAAAUCAACUAGCAGAAUAAACCCGACAACAACGAUUGGCUUCAAUAGUGCAACCAGCCCAAUCCAUAGGAUCAGGAAUGAAAUAAAAGAACAGUUACCCGGAAACACCUCCAGUGAGAUGCGUAAUAGGACGUUAGCUUUUCCACACCACAGCGGACGGUGACAGAAAGUUUGAGUCGAAGAGGUUUUUGGAAAAAAUCGUGGAUACCUCUUACACUUGCUAUUUUGCUUGUAAUUGUAGUCGUAGCUUUAGGAGUUAUACGAAAGUUGUUCGUUUGUAAACGUGGAAAAGACAAACAGAUAAAUGAACCAGAGCAAAAUAUCUCGAUGAUUUCAAGCAGUGAUGGAAAUCAAGUUACUUUGCCAGAAACAACCACAUCUGAUGUCAUGGACAUACAUGAAAAUCUGAGAAAUAAAUUCUUUGAAGGAUCACUUUGAAGUUAACUGGAUCUCAAGACUCGUAAAUAUCAUAAACAAUUAUUUAAGUUUCAAUGAGAAGUUUAUUAAGACAUAGAUACCAUUUGUGUAUUUGAAUUUUUUCAUUUUUUGUCGGACAAGAACAACCAAUUAAGUAAUACAGCAUUUGUACAUCACGA